rnacentral:rRNA from 1 species
UGGCUCAGAUUGAACGCUGGCGGCAGGCCUAACACAUGCAAGUCGAGCGGAAACGAGUUAUCUGAACCUUCGGGGGACGUUAACGGCGUCGAGCGGCGGACGGGUGAGUAAUGCCUAGGAAAUUGCCCUGAUGUGGGGGAUAACCAUUGGAAACGAUGGCUAAUACCGCAUGAUGCCUACGGGCCAAAGAGGGGGACCUUCGGGCCUCUCGCGUCAGGAUAUGCCUAGGUGGGAUUAGCUAGUUGGUGAGGUAAGGGCUCACCAAGGCGACGAUCCCUAGCUGGUCUGAGAGGAUGAUCAGCCACACUGGAACUGAGACACGGUCCAGACUCCUACGGGAGGCAGCAGUGGGGAAUAUUGCACAAUGGGCGCAAGCCUGAUGCAGCCAUGCCGCGUGUGUGAAGAAGGCCUUCGGGUUGUAAAGCACUUUCAGUCGUGAGGAAGGUGGGGUAGUUAAUAGCGUCAUCAUUGACGUAGCGACAGAGAG